rnacentral:rRNA from 1 species
ACGGGGGGGCGUGCUUACCAUGCAAGUCGAACGGGGUGCCUUUGAAAGAGGAUUCGUCCAAUUGAGAAGGUUACCUAGUGGCGGACGGGUGAGUAACGCGUGAGUAACCUGCCUUGGAGUGGGGAAUAACACAUCGAAAGAUGUGCUAAUACCGUAUAAUGCAGUUGGGCCGCAUGGCUCUGACUGCCAAAGAUUUAUCGCUCUGAGAUGGACUCGCGUCUGAUUAGCUGGUUGGCGGGGUAACGGCCCACCAAGGCGACGAUCAGUAGCCGGACUGAGAGGUUGACCGGCCACAUUGGGACUGAGACACGGCCCAGACUCCUACGGGAGGCAGCAGUGGGGAAUAUUGGGCAAUGGGCGCAAGCCUGACCCAGCAACGCCGCGUGAAGGAAGAAGGCUUUCGGGUUGUAAACUUCUUUUAUCAGGGACGAAGCAAGUGACGGUACCUGAUGAAUAAGCCACGGCUAACUACGUGCCAGCAGCCGCGGUAAUACGUAGGUGGCAAGCGUUAUCCGGAUUUACUGGGUGUAAAGGGCGUGUAGGCGGGAGUGCAAGUCAGAUGUGAAAACUAUGGGCUCAACCCAUAGCCUGCAUUUGAAACUGUACUUCUUGAGUGCUGGAGAGGCAAUCGGAAUUCAGGCUUACACAUUGCUUUUUUGGUCCCCGGGGGGCGGGCCACCAUGCGCAGAAAGCGGUUGUGGCAGC